rnacentral:tRNA from 2 species
GCUCCGGUGGUGUAGUCCGGUCAAGCAUGUCGGCCUUUCGAGCCGUAGAUCCCGGGUUCAAAUCCCGGCCGGAGCA